rnacentral:rRNA from 1 species
UACGUAGGGUGCGAGCGUUGUCCGGAAUUAUUGGGCGUAAAGGGCUCGUAGGCGGUCUGUCGCGUCGAAAGUGAAAACUCAGGGCUUAACCCUGAGCCUGCCUCCGAUACGGGCAGACUAGAGGUAUGCAUGGGAGAACGGAAUUCCUGGUGUAGCGGUGAAAUGCGCAGAUAUCAGGAGGAACACCGGUGGCGAAGGCGGUUCUCUGGGCAUUACCUGACGCUGAGGAGCGAAAGCGUGGGGAGCGAACCGG